rnacentral:lncRNA from 1 species
CUUGUCUAUUACCCGCUUUACUGAAGAGUCAUAAAAAUUAUUAAAUUUGUCGAUAUCAGGCAUUGUUUGGAUUGGGGAUAAGAGGAGGGAUAACCCCUUAUUCCCUCCUUUACACCCAAACGCAAAUAUUUUACCCGAGAAUAGUAGUUCUCGGGUACCUAAAAUAACUUGAUAUAACUAUUCCCACCAACACCUCUAUUUUUUAUGUAUAACUACCCACUAUUUUUCUUAUUUCAUAUUAUCUAUCAAAACGCUAUUUUUUUUUAUUUCCGGGAACAACCCAAUUUUCAUCCAAACGCUAUUUUUUCUUAUUUUCAUACUUGAACCUAUCCCUGUAAGAACUAGUUCUUACUUAUAAUUGAACCAAGCGGUGAAAUUACUUGGCAAUUGGAGGAAUUAAAUAUAAAGUUUUUAUAUU